rnacentral:tRNA from 1 species
GUGGCUGUGGCUCAGUGGCGGAGCGCUUGCCUAGCAUGCAUGAGGCACUGAGUUCGAUCCUUGGCACCACA